UACGAAGGGGGCUAGCGUUGCUCGGAAUCACUGGGCGUAAAGCGCACGUAGGCGGAUUGUUAAGUCAGGGGUGAAAUCCUGGAGCUCAACUCCAGAACUGCCUUUGAUACUGGCGAUCUCGAGUCCGGGAGAGGUGAGUGGAACUGCGAGUGUAGAGGUGAAAUUCGUAGAUAUUCGCAAGAACACCAGUGGCGAAGGCGGCUCACUGGCCCGGUACUGACGCUGAGGUGCGAAAGCGUGGUGAGCAAACAGG
rnacentral:rRNA from 1 species